rnacentral:rRNA from 1 species
UACGAAGGGGGCUAGCGUUGCUCGGAAUCACUGGGCGUAAAGCGCACGUAGGCGGAUUGUUAAGUCAGGGGUGAAAUCCUGGAGCUCAACUCCAGAACUGCCUUUGAUACUGGCGAUCUCGAGUCCGGGAGAGGUGAGUGGAACUGCGAGUGUAGAGGUGAAAUUCGUAGAUAUUCGCAAGAACACCAGUGGCGAAGGCGGCUCACUGGCCCGGUACUGACGCUGAGGUGCGAAAGCGUGGGGAGCAACAG